AUUGAACGCUGGCGGCAUGCCUUACACAUGCAAGUCGAACGCGAAAGUGGGGGCAACCCUGCGAGUAGAGUGGCGAACGGGUGAGUAAUACAUCGGAACGUACCCAGGAGUGGGGGACAACCUCGAGAAAUCGAGGCUAAUACCGCAUACGUCCUGAGGGAGAAAGCGGGGGAUCUGCAAGGACCUCGCGCUCAUGGAGCGGCCGAUGUCGGAUUAGCUAGUUGGCGGGGUAAAGGCCCACCAAGGCGACGAUCCGUAGCUGGUUUGAGAGAACGACCAGCCACAGUGGGACGGGGACACGGCCCAGACUCCUACGGGAGGCAGCAGUGGGGAAUGUUGGACAAUGGGCGAAAGCCUGAUCCAGCCAUGCCGCGUGAGGGAAGAAGGCCUUCGGGUUGUAAAGCUCUUUCGGCCGGAACGAAAUCGGGUGCGUGAAUAACGUAUCUGGAUGACGGUACUGGAAGAAGAAGCACCGGCUAACUACGUGCCAGCCGCCGCGGUAA
rnacentral:rRNA from 1 species